UACAGAGGUGGCAAGCGUUGUUCGGAAUUACUGGGCGUAAAGCGCGUGUAGGCGGCUCUUCAAGUCAGGCGUGAAAUUCCGAAGCUCAACUUCGGAGCUGCAUUUGAAACUAUCGAUCUAGAGGAUUGACGGAGAAAACGGAAUUCCACGUGUAGCGGUGAAAUGCGUAGAUAUGUGGAAGAACACCGGUGCGAAAGCGGUUUACA
rnacentral:rRNA from 1 species